UUGAACGCUGGCGGCAGGCCUAACACAUGCAAGUCGAGCGGAUGAAGGGAGCUUGCUCCUGGAUUCAGCGGCGGACGGGUGAGUAAUGCCUAGGAAUCUGCCUGGUAGUGGGGGAUAACGUCCGGAAACGGGCGCUAAUACCGCAUACGUCCUGAGGGAGAAAGUGGGGGAUCUUCGGACCUCACGCUAUCAGAUGAGCCUAGGUCGGAUUAGCUAGUUGGUGGGGUAAAGGCCUACCAAGGCGACGAUCCGUAACUGGUCUGAGAGGAUGAUCAGUCACACUGGAACUGAGACACAGUCCAGACUCCUACGGGAGGCAGCAGUGGGGAAUAUUGGACAAUGGGCGAAAGCCUGAUCCAGCCAUGCCGCGUGUGUGAAGAAGGUCUUCGGAUUGUAAAGCACUUUAAGUUGGGAGGAAGGGCAGUAAGUUAAUACCUUGCUGUUUUGACGUUACCAACAGAAUAAGCACCGGCUAACUUCGUG
rnacentral:rRNA from 1 species